GAACUUUAGCGUAGCGUGUAAAACCCUCCUCCUCCUUCCAGCCAAACCCGAGAAAGAAAAAAAAACCGUGAAACGCUCGCGUUGUGUUCCGUUCCAGGCAAGAAACAAGAACAAAGUACUACCCUCUAAGCAAACAGAUGAAUUUCUUUCCUUCCAGAGUGAAAAAAAAAAAACAAAAAAAAACUAACUUAACAACUUUUUAGAACUAUUUUAACAAAAGAAAAAGAGAACGAAAAUUCCUCCCUCCUAAAAGAAGAGAAACAAAAAUUACAAGGAAAAUGGGGAAAAUUCCUGCCAAAUUGCAAGAAAAAAAAAACAAAAAUACUACAAAGAAUGUCGCAACUUGGUGCAAAAUAGAGAAAUAAAAAAAAUCGUUUAUGUGUAUAUUUGCGAACGUGUCCUAAGUUCGAACUAAUGGUAGCUGUAACUGGAAGUAAAUUUAUUUUUACAACAAAGGAAAACAGAAAUAAAACACAACCUAACAAACUACAUGCACACAUUCACAUCUUAUCGCAAAAAGAAACAAAAAACAGAACGAGAUUAACAAAACAAAGCGUAUAAAUUAAAAGCAGAAUAUUAAAGGUAAACAUCACACGCGUGCAAGCACGCAACAAAAGAAAUCAAACAUUCAAAAUCACCAACAGAUCAACACACAGACAUUUUAAUAUUUUGUACAUACAAUCGAACAAUCCUUGAAGAGAAUAAACAUUAACUUAAAGUCAUGCUACGGAAAACAUUCUCCCACUCAAAUUUGAUGAAAAAAAGAAACAAAACGGCAGUAAAACAACAUCACAGAAAAAAAACAAACACACACAAAACUAGCAAAAGAUCGACUGGAAGUGUUAAACUUAUUAUUUUUGUGUACAUAUUGAGAGCUAAACUAAACAACACAACUAAAAAGAUAUGGUAUGGUGGGAUUAAUAUGGCGCGGUGUCCUUCUCACUGUGCGGGGAGAUUAAUUAAACUAAAGAGAAAACAAACACACACACACGUAACACAACACAACAACACACACACACUUAGUUAUAUACAUUGUAAGCGUCAAAAGAGAUAAAAAAAAGGUAAAAAGUAAAUUAAAGAGGAAAUAAUGUACUGUAAUAAAAA